UAUUUGUCUGGGAUGCCUUGCAUGAAAGUUUGAACUUGAGGCCUUGAGAUCCACAACUUUGUAGAAAUAGUCUUAUCAAGUGAUCAAGGGACUUUUGAUCACUUGAAUAGUCUGUAGGAGUAUACAUGAAUCAAAGGAUUUAGUUAAUCAAAAUUUCUUUUGAUCAACUUGAAUCAAAGGGAUUGAAUUAAAUUGAAAAUUAUGUAUAAACUAAUCGAAAGGUCAAUGAAAAUGUAGAAAUCAUAACUAAGGGAUCAUGCAACAUUUAGGAUCACAUUAAUAAUCUACUUAAUAUCACAUGAAAAAUUCAUUAAAAUGAUCAAUUAUUCUAAAUCAAGCCCUAACCUAAGGGAUCAUGAAAAUCUAAAAUUAAACCCUAGGGUUAAAAUGGUCAAAUCAUCUAGGGAAGCUGUUAGGGAAUCAAAACUAGAAUUAAAAUCUAAUUAAAAUUAAUUAUUCUAAUUAUUUCUAAUUAGAACCAUUAAUCCUAAUUAAAAAUUAAUAUUCUAAUUCUAAUUAAAUUCUAAAAAAUACUAACAUGUUAAUCAUGUAAAUCCUAAUUAAUUUUCUAAUAAGCCUAAUUAAGCAACAAUUAAGAAAGCUAAAAUAAUUAACAAAAACAAUUAAAAGGAUGGGUUUCAGCAAGGGGUAUGGCCUUGAUCCCAGGGGUGUCUAAGAAAAACACGUGUUUGGACUUGUGGCUACUGGCCCAACCGUUGAAUCAAAGGACCAGGGGGGUGAGGCCUCACAAAAAAGGGUGAGGACCAAACCAAGGCACAAGGCCCAUUAAGUUAAGGCCCGAUGACAAUACAACGUCCAUGCAUGUGACUGGAUAACAUUGGAUAAGGGAUGAAUCACCAUUGUAAUGUAACAGUCAAAUGCAGGACAUUGAUAGGGCAAUUGAUGGCAGACACAUGUAUCAUCAAACGUGAAUGACCAUGAAUUAAUCCACAUGGGGAAAUAAAAUGAGAGGCUUAUAACACCAUACUGUCAAAGCUUACACUUCCGUUUCCGUUUCCGUUUCCAUCUCCGUCUCCGCCACGCCGUAGGUUCCCUCGGUGGCAUAGAUUUUGUAGAAUUCAAAAACUUGACCAUCAAACUUUCCCUCUCCACGUCCUCAAUUUGAAUCCAACAUCAAUUUAACCUACUUCGACCUCUAAUGUCCUAACCAAACCAAAAUAUGUAUUAACCUUAACCUAAAGAAUCUUAAAUUAAAUUGUUAUGGUGAAUGAUUAACCGACGAGACCUUAGGGCUUCUACUCGAUGCACCUUAAGCUUUCGUAUGGUAUCAAGAAUGGAGCAAAAAGAUGAAAAAAUAGUGAAGACGUGAUGACCUACCUGCCGAAGUAGUUCUGGUGACUCUUCAUCAGCGACAAUAAUACACGAACCAAAGAUCUUCAAGCUCCUCGGGUUGGAAAAGCAGGAUUAUACAAGAUGGUGACUGAUGUUGUAGAAUUAAUGCAUCUGGUUUUGGUCAAUGCUAUCAUGUGCCAAGUGAUUAGGAUAGGUUAAUUAGUUGAUGUAUCUUAGGUUAAGCAUUAGUUUAGCUUCAUUUGGAUGUAAACUUGUAAUGUAUAAUGCAUGAUCAUGGAUUUAUGUACAUGAAACAUUUGUAAAUGCAAGUUAGAUUUUGAAUGGAAAGUUAAAAAUUGAGUAAAAAUGGAAAUUUGGUAUGAA